UACGAAGGGUGCAAACGUUGCUCGGAAUCAUUGGGCGUAAAGCGCACGUAGGCGGCGAUCUAAGUCGGAUGUGAAAUCCCUCGGCUCAACCGAGGACGUGCAUCCGAAACUGGAUUGCUCGAGUAUGGAAGAGGGUCGCGGAAUUCUCGGUGUAGAGGUGAAAUUCGUAGAUAUCGGGAGGAACACCGGUGGCGAAGGCGGCAUCCCGGGUCGGUAUUGACGCUGAGGAGCGAAAGCCAGGGGAGCAAACGGG
rnacentral:rRNA from 1 species